UGCCAGCCGCCGCGGUAAUACGAAGGGGGCUAGCGUUGUUCGGAAUCACUGGGCGUAAAGCGCACGUAGGCGGAUUUGUAAGUUAGGGGCGAAAUCCCAGGGCUCAACCCUGGAACUGCCUUUCAUACUGGCGAUCUUGAGUUCGAGAGAGGUGAGUGGAAUUCCGAGUGUAGAGGUGAAAUUCGUAGAUAUUCGGAGGAACACCAGUGGCGAAGGCGGCUCACUGGCUCGAUACUGACGCUGAGGUGCGAAAGCGUGGGGAGCAAACAGGAUUAGAUA
rnacentral:rRNA from 1 species